GAGUGGCGGACGGGUGAGUAACGCGUAGGAAUCUACCUAUUGGUGGGGGAUAGCCCAGAGAAAUUUGGAUUAAUACCGCAUACGCCCUACGGGGGAAACGAGGCCUCUUCUUGAAAGCUUCGACCGAUAGAUGAGCCUGCGUUAGAUUAGCUAGUUGGUAGGGUAAAGGCCUACCAAGGCGACGAUCUAUAGCUGUUCUGAGAGGAUGAUCAGCCACACUGGGACUGAGACACGGCCCAGACUCC
rnacentral:rRNA from 1 species